rnacentral:lncRNA from 1 species
GGAAAUACCAAAGAGGGACAGUAGUGGUUUCCUAAGUCAUUGAAGUCACAGGAUAUAAUAGUCUGAGCUAUGGGGAGCUUUGGGAGUUUGCAGACAGGAGAGGAUUCUGGGAGAAUGAAACCUUUGAGUAAAGGAAUCGCAGAGUCUAGCAGUAAAGUUCUGAUUAUCUAAUUCAAGGCUUACAGCACACAGUCCCAUUCUGAGAUCCUCAGAUAUGAGCUAGGAGCUCUGGUGUGCUGCUAAUUUGCAGGUUGGUUAAUCUCUCUGGUUCUCACUUUCUCAGGCGUGAAGUUGGAGGUUAUGUCUGCCUUGAGGAGUAUCUGUGUGGCCCGGACGAGGUAACUCAUACAUAAAUGUUAGUGCAGUGCUUGCACCUAGAGGCAAUCUAUCGCUACAGUCCAGGUAUUGUUAAGGGGUGAAUUGUGGUGACUCCCAAAGUGACUGUCUCUGGAGAUGGUGCUUUUAAGUAGCAACUAAAGUCGAACGAAGUCAGAAAGGUGGUAGGUUCAAAGGAAAGUAUGGAAGGUAGCCGCCUGCCAGUCAGGAAGACAGCCCUCAGCAGAAGCAGCAAUGUCAGAACCUUGAUUGUGGAUGCCCACCCUUUAAAUGACAAGAAAUAAAUACCUGUUGUUGCGUUGUUGGAGUCACCGUCCAUGAUAUUCUGUUGUGGGGCGUGAUCUAAGACAAGUGCCCACAACGUGACAGUGUGGUGGUUAAGUGGGAAGAGGAGCCUGUAGCGGGGCAAGCGCUCUAGAGGCGUGGCUUAUUGUAGAGGCUCAGGAGGUGGGGCAAAGAAGAUGGACAGCAUUCAGCAGGUGUCAGAAAAGGCUUAUGGCCCAGGGUGAGGCAGCAGCCGGUCCCACAAAAGUGGAAAGCCAUUUCAGAAACAUUUUUUUUUAAACCAGGGUGUAACCCCGGAAACUCAAAGUCGGCUGAGGGUAGGGCGGGUGGCAUAGGAGGAAGACGGGGCUGGGGAGAAGAUUCUGGAACCCACAGUGAGGGUUUUUGGCAGAUCAGUGAAGAUAGCUGCUGGCUGAGGAAGCAUAGAGGAAGAGGUAAAAAGUCUGAAGCAGGGAGCAGCUGACACGUAAUCACCACAGAAAGCGGGUAGCUGUUGGCAGAAAAGGCGUUUAGGAAGCGCGGCCGCGGGCCCUGCCAAGGGAGGCUGUCGUGAUUCACGCUUGGGAAGUGCUGGAGACCAGAACACAGGUUGGAGGAGGUCCAGGCAUGGCACAGUGCACCAGGUUUCCCGUUUUCAACUAUGCCAUGAAGCACGGAUCAAGACAUCAUGAGUUCUUUGUCCUCUUGGGAAAUGGAGUCUGUUCCUGUUGCUGGCUUUAUUUGAAAAGGGACGAGCUGGUCUUGAUUGACACCUGAAUGUUGUUCAGGCUUGGGGAGGCCAGAGGUCAAGGCGCCCCCUGGCGGUGGAAACUGCAAGGCUCAGGCCCUAACCUAGGGUUGUAGAAGCUGCGGGUAAGCUGUGUACUUGUAAGAUGCUAUCCUCCUUCAAAGCAAGGUUGUUAACCAGAGGUGAUUCUUAGUGAUGCUGGCUACACCCUGUGCCAGCAUUCUGUGGCACCAUUGGGUGCCAGGAGUCUACCCAAUCCUGUGCUGGCCAAGGCACUGCCCUCCGGGCACUGAUCAUCUGAGUCACACAGGAUUUCUAUCUUAUCCUAAACAACCCCCCAGGCCAGCCAUGCUUCACUGCCUCUCACCCUUCAGCAGAGAUGUCUUCCCCACUUUCCUGAGAUACAGUGUGAUUCAGAUGGGCCAAAUGUUACAAGGCUGGCCUUCAGACUCUGGCCCUGGUCCUGUGUAUGAUUCCAUGUCUGAUCUGAACUGCUGCAAUAGAGUUUUCAGAGAUACGGAGGAGAGAUAGGAUGAACUGAGGCUACCAUCGUUCCAUCCUCAAGGCAAGCCUGUUCCCAGGAAGCCAGCCAAGUGCUCUAAGACCAGUUGCAACGAACUUUGCAAGCUUGAAGGAAACCUGUGUCUGCUGAAGCCUGAUGCUAGGACUUGCAAAGACCACCUUAAGGAUGUGGUCCAAAGCCUGGUGUAGGACUUGUAAAGACCACCCUGAGGAUCUCGUCCAGAAGCAGAAAUGCAAAUGGAACUGAGAAGCGAGAUGAUAGUCCAACGGAGCAGUGCCCUAACUGAGGCAACUUAGAGGAGAUGUGGCAGCUAGAAGGAGCAGAGAGAAGACUGGAUGGAGAGAGAAAUGAGCAAGGGGAGUGGAUAGACAGGAAAGAGCGCAGGGGCCAGAUGGGAAGAGAGCCUUCCCAGCUCACAACCACAGCUACCGUCCUCCUCAUGAGUAUCCUUGAUCUUUGACUUGGAAGAAGUCGAUGCAGUCCUAUGAUGCAAAUGAAGUUCCAUGGACCUAGAAGGUGUGGCCUGCUGCUGUGGCAGCUGUGUAAUGUCUGCUGGUGCCCUGAGGGUUACAUGGACAGAAAAAUGCAAGAUUGAAUCAGGAACAGGAGAAAAUGAUGUCAUCAAGACGCUGGCUCACCGUAGUACAGUCAAACCUUUUUAAAAGUAGGGGGAGCAGCACAAAAUACUGGUUAAAAGCACAACGCGUUAAAAAUGAACAUGGCUGUUUAUUAUCAUUACAAAAUAUUCUUGUCCCAUACCACAAUACCAGCACUUAGGAGGCUGGCUGAGGCAGAAGGAUCUCAUGUUUGAGUCCAGCCUGAGCUAUAUAGAAAGACUAAAGCCAAAUAAAUAAAUAUGUUGUUCUGUAACUGACUGUAUUAGCCUGCUUUUAUACAGCCUACUGUGCAGUGGGUUUUUGUCACCAGCCUCGCUCCAGACAAAUGAAUGGAACACCAGCUUAUACUAUCAGAACAUCCAUGACACCACCAGAAAUAAGAACUUUUUAAGCACUAUUAUCAUGUUAGGAGACACCCCCCCCCCCCCGACAGGGUGUCAUUGGUGACAGUGCCACAUACAUACAGUCACAUACCACAUCAGGGUAUUUCAGUCGUUGACAAACUGUGGGUAGUUCUGCAUCAGCUACUUGUGGAGGAAACAGCAUUUAGUGACUAGAGCAAAUGUUGAAUAUGGGUGAAGCAUCCCUGCUCUGGGACAGAUUAGUGACUAGAGUAAAUGUUGAAUAUGGGUGAAGCAUCCCUGCUCUGGGACAGAUGUGUGAAAGGACUUUCCAUAGCUAAGAGACCACGUCAAUGCAAGGUCUUCAGGUUUUUACAGACGAGACAGAUGACUUGCUUAGGGGUGGUAUGGCACGAUACAAGUUGAUUCCUCUAAGUUCUGGCUAGAUGAGUGCCUCAGAGCCUUGCAGUAUAUUAAUAAGUACACACUGCUAGAGUACAGUAUAUUAAUAAGCACACACUGCCAGUGUCCUAAGGGAGUGUAAGGAGUCCCAAGUAACUUGGCAAGCCACAGAAGUACUGGCAAGCACCACACCUUUCAGGACAAGAUGCUGGCGAAACCCUGACUCCAUUCUAGUCUUGCAACCUCUAUGAUCACAUCAAGAACCUUGCUCAGGCUUGAGUGAUGUCACCGAGGAACGUGAUGAAUGCCAUCUAGAAGCACUGAGAGCAUCAUCCACAACUUCAAAGGAGUUUAUCAACACGAAAAGGUUUCAACACUCAGCGGGGUGGUGGACAGCUGUGGCAGGCAGAGGACAAGGUUGACUCUGAGGAGCUCUGCGGGUGUUUCUGAGCAGACAACCAGACCUCAGGCCCUGCCCAGAAUGCUGGCAUGACAACAGGAUAUGGGGGCUAAUAACAGCAAUACUGAUGAUCCUGGUCCUAUAGAG